UUACAUCUUCAUGACUUAUUCUGUAACUAAAAGUCUAUACCUUUAGAUCCCCUUCACCCCCACUUUCCCCUAUCAUCUUCUUGGUUAUUCUGACGAACCUCUGUUCUAGAUUAUAAAAGCAUUUGACAGGCUUUGCUUUAUAGGCAAAUGACUCAAAUAAUUUUGAUUUUCUCAGCUAUGCUGAGGGUCUUUAAAAUUAACAAAGAAAACGUGAUAGAAAAUAUUAAUCAUUCUCCCUGUUUUCUUCUACCCACACAGGUCAGCCACAUCAAGUUGUGCCAGCCCCCUUAUGCAAAGGCAUCUGGCCAAGGGGGCAAACAGGGGCCAAAAUGCAGCCCAUGACCACUUUUUAAGCCAUGAACCUUGGCCCAAACUAAGCCCAGAGAAUGAGGGCCUUUUCUAAUUGGCCUCCCAAAGGAGACACUAUUGAAGGAAGUAACGGAGAAGACAUGAUGGCCAGCUGACCCAUGAGCCAGACCUGGGCAAUUAGAGACUCCUCACUCCCUACCCUGUUCUUGGAAUGCACAUUCUGCCCAUCAAUCCCACAGUGGGAGCUGUUCCAAGGACAAAGCCUUGGGAGAAAUGAAGCCUCCUCCUGUGUCGGUGAUCUUUGGGGCUGCUUUUACAUUAGCCACGCCUAUAAAAAAUAUCAAACAAGACAAGGAUGUCCACUAUUAACACUUCUACUCAACGUUAUACUGAAGGGCCCAGCUAGCAGAAGAUGAUAAGAAAAUAAAACAGGCAUAAAGGUUGGAAAGGAGUAAAACAGUCUGUAUAUUC